rnacentral:lncRNA from 1 species
UUUUUUUUUUUUUUUUUUUUUUUUUUUUUUGCCCUGUCACUCUCUCCUUGCUGCUUCUUCUCUGGGUUUCUUUCCAAAAUCUGAGCCCCUCCGCCAUGGGCUUUGCCUGCCUGUCCCUCUUGCCCCAUCAUCCCCCCACCCCUGGCAGUUUUGCCCUAGCUCAGAGGCCCUGCUUCAGCUAACCUGCCCCCUGCCAUGCCAAAGUAUAAAUUCACAACCACAUACACGGCACAUACAAGUUCUCCACAGCCAGGGUCAGCUUCGAACCCACCCCUUGCAGGGCCCCUUGCAGGGUUCUAGACUCGGUGUUACAGCCUGUGCUGAGCUGGCUAACAGCUGGGGAGGGCCACAGACCCCACACUUGUCCCCCUAGUGUGGAACUGUAGCCCAGGCAGGGGUAGUUUCUCUGUGUGUUGGGGGACAGGUGAAUAUUUGGAAGUUCAUCUGGUCCAGGUGUAGGUCCUAGAGGACAGGGGGCAGAGUGACAGGCCUGGGGCUCUGUUCUCAGAGGGGCUGCAUUUGGCCCCACCUCCAGGUCGGGGUGCAGAUGACAAGGGUAGCUGUUGGGCCAUUACAGUGGUUGGGCCCAGCAUUAGUUCCUCCAGCUUCACCCUUUCAGGCGGUAGGAGUGCAUUUUCAUUUCCUCUCUGGUGGUGUGGACACCUCCUCAUCUCUGAGUUUAGGGCCCCUCCAUCCUCACUGAACAGAAGCCCCUAUCCCUUCCCUUACAGGUCUCAGAGAGUAGCGUGGCUCUGCCAGACAGGGGAGUGGCAAAAGAGCAAGAACAGUGGCAAAAUGCCCCCUUGUUGCCUGGAAACCCACACGCGCAACUGUUGUCAUGGCAGGUGGAGGCGGAGGGGCUGCAUAGGAGGCCUGGGAGAUGGGCUGGGAAGGGACCCUGCAGUUGGGGGUCAGGCAGGAGUCCAUCCCAGGGGACCACUGGGUCCCCAAGAGGGCUGCCAAGUGUGAGAAUGCUGGGCCCAGUAGGAAGUGGAAGCGUGUAUAUGACCCAGAAGAGGAGGAGAGAGGGAGGGAGGUGGAGCUGGGCCAGCAGCCCAGGCCACUCCCUUCCCAUCUGAGCUGUUUCCCCAACGAAGCCCCCAGCCCACUCUCCUGCCUGGGGAGCUGAACUUAGGCUUUGGAGCAUCUUGUUCAAACAUGGAGACAAAGGUCAGAGAGCAGUGCCAGCCCCAGCUCUCCCGAGGGGCAAAUCCCAGGCAGGAAAUGCUGAGAUUUGCCCUCCUCUUGCCUAGAACCCUCAAACACAUGGCUCAAGAUGAUAAGAGCUAACAUCCAUCGAGAGCUUACCAUGAGCCAGGCUGUGUGCUGGCAUUCUGUGUGGAUCUGUCCCAUUUACUCCUCACGGUGGACCUCCAAGGGAAGCACAGUUGUCAUCCCUAGUUGGACAUACAGGGACACUGAGGCUCAGAAUGAUGAGGCCCCUUGCCCAAUGUCAACAGCUGGGCAAGACGUGGCUCAGCUGGGACUGCAAACCCAGGCGUGGCACCCUGUAGAUUGCUUCCCCCAGCUGAGACCACUGCUUUCCAGAGGGGAAUGUGCAUCCAUAGGGCCCUCUAAGUAGAAAUUGGGAUUGCUAAUCAUAACAAUAAUCAGAUUGUUAAUAACAGUAGACUCACAGAAGGUUAGACUUUAAAAGAGACAUUAGGGUUCCUGUAAUGCAGGGACUCCCUGCCCCUUAGUCUUGUUCAUGCCCCCAGGGGAAAGGACCCACCCACCUCGAUUCUCACAGUGGGCUUUCCUUGCCAGGUACAGGGUGUCCAGUCCAUGUCUAGCUGGUGGGGCAGGGACAGAUUCCUCAGGUGAUUCAAUGGUCCCUCCACUCCCUGAUAAAUGAUCCAGCCAGAAAUGUUAGAUUUACAUAUGGGAAGGGGGGAGAUUGAGUCAUAGAAUGAGGAAGAGAUUUGUUCUUCUGAUCCAGUGAGAAUAAAUAACUUUUUAAAAAUGAUUUUAUUUAUUUAUUCAUUCAUGAGAGACAGAGAGAGACAGAGAGAGAGGGAGAGAGAGGUAGAGACCUAGGCAGAGGGAGAAGCAGGCUUCAUGCAAGGAGCCCGAUAUGGGCUUGUCCAGAUCCUGGGAUCACGCCCUGAGCCAAAGGCAGGCGCCAAACCACUGAGCUACCCCAGGCAUCCCAGAAUAAAUAACUUUUAACAUCACUGUCAUCUAAGUGCCCAGCACUGGACGUGUCACCAUCAGUUCCCACCAAGCUGGGUGUCAUUACACGGACAGAGCCUGGCAGGGACAGGAGGGAGACCACAGUGAGCAAGUGGCAAGUCAGAGUUUGAACCCAACUUUCCAGGACACCAGCACUCUUUCCAGCUCUCCAUCAUCCUAGAAUGAUGGUGUGAUGGCACGGAGGAGGAGGAGGAGGAUGUUCACAGUUAGAGAAUCAUUUCAGCGAGAGUUGUCUGUGUGCCAGGCACUGCGCCGAACCCAUCACAGACAUCAGACCAAUGAGUCUUCACCACCCCUGAAGGAAGAUUAGCUGUUUUCCCCAUUUCACAGAUGAGCAAACUGAGGCCCCAAGCACUGCUAUCCCUUUCCAAGGCUCCAUGGCUGGCAAUUGUGGCAGUUGAGGUUCUCACCAGGGUCUAGCUCACCCUUAAGCACUCUCUUCCUCAGAGAAGUGGAGAGGGAGGAGGAGAGUUCGUGAUUCAUCCUGAAAUGGAGUGCAAGGGUGCUCCAGGACCAGCAGCCCCAGGAAAGGAGGCCCCUCAGCUGCACCCAGACUGUCCCCACCCCCAUCAGAAUUUGCACUUCAGCAAGAUCCCAGGUAUCUGGACACACGUGGAUGUCCGGAUGUCCGAGAGACACUGCUCCAGUUUCAAUGGUUUUCCACUCUUUAUUACUUCUAGUGUACAUCUCCCCGCCCCCCCUCAACUUUUUAAAGUUAGUUAUGCAGUUAACUAUAAGUUAGUAUGUUAACUAUAAAGAUGGUUAGUUCUAUCCUGAGGUCGAAAAUGAAUUGCAAAAUUGCCCUUUCCGGGGUAUAAGGGGAGAAGGAAACAGGGAGACCACAGUCAAACUGGCUUGCACUGCAUUCCUCCCACCUGCAAACUCACCUCACACACCCCUGCCAGAGGCUUGCCAGUGACCUGUUUUGAAAACCUCCCAUACCAGACCAGGCCCUAGGUCUCUCCCAAGUAGAUUCGAUUCAGCAGUGUGACACUGCCCACACAUCCCAGAGCCUCACAGAAUCACAGCGUGUACACAGAAUACAGGGGCCUGGAGAUCGAGCUUCCAACUUGGAGCGUGCCGGGUCUGGGUGUUCAUGGGUACAGCAAGGAUGUCACCAGGCCUCAGUAUGCCCUUCCACUAAAGUGGAGCUCCUGUAGCUCCUUUUCUGCAGGCCUCAGAUGACACAGGCAGAGCUGGCCUGGCUCCUGGGCCUCUUACCCUCAGUAAAGCUCAUUUCUCCAGAGCUGAUCUCCUUGGUUCCUGGAGGAUCCCAUAAGAGCAGAAGGACCCCGAGCUUUGGGGACUCAGGCAGAACCAGUUUCAAGCAGGACUGGGGUCCAGCCAGACACAUGGGACAGCCGUAUCAGUAGUUAGAAUCACACUGUCCAAUACCAUAAUCACUGCAGCCACAGCCACGUGUGGCCAGUGACAUUUAGAUUAAUUUAAAUUAAAUUAAUUCAAUUCCUCAGUCACUCACCACCCAGCAAGUGCUCACUAGCCACACAUGCUCAUGGCUACCAUAGUGGACGAUAUAGAGAGAGCAUUUCCAUAGUUGCAGAGCUUUCCUUUGGACAGCAACUCAGUAGAUCAUGAAACAGUUCUAUACCAGCUGGCAGACAGCUGCUGCUGUCAGGCCUUCCUGUGUCCCUUAGCCCCUCGCCCUCCCAGCCCUUUGUCAUGUGGUACCCUAUUAAUUCCCAUUUCUCAGAUGAGGAAAUAGAGUGACAGCAAGGCUCCUAGCAGAAAACUGGCAGUCACACAGGGUUGGACCAGCCAGGCCUUGAGUCCUGCUUAUCCUUGCUCAUCACUUGCGAAGCCAGACCCUGUUCUGGGCCCCCUUGAGGAGCUUCAUGAAACUCCUCAGCCCCUGAGUGUCCCCGAGGAUCUGUUUUACAGAGGAGGAAACAAGAGAAAAGAAAUGAAGGGGCUGGCCCAAGGCUUCACAGCCAGGGUCUGACCAGAGCCCUCCACCACUGCUCCCAGAACAUCUGGAACAUCUGGACUGCUGACCUAAGUGGAGUCGCCACAUACCAGCCAAGGUUAGGGUUGGGGUCCUGGUCGAGAGGUCCCCUCUUGGUUCUCUUCCUCCACCCCUGGCGUCCUCUCCGGCCCUCUCUCCUCUCCGGCCCUCUCUCCUUUCCUGGCUUUUAGAAUCUGACCCCAGAUCUCUAAGGAGAACUUCGUUCCUCCCUCUGCCUCACCUCCUGCAUUUCCUCCAAGUUCUGCCCCUUUUGCCAACUUGCUGUAUCUUUUCAUUGUCUCCCUCCUCUCCAUCCCCAAAGCUCCAGCCAUGGCCUCUGCCUCUUCCCCUGGACCCUUGGCCCAGCUCUUCCCCAGCCUUCAGCCUUACUCCAGUUCACUCAGAGGGGUCUUUCUCAGUCAGAGAGGACCCUGCCCCUUCCCUGCCUCAACAUCGCCCCCCCCCCAGCACCCCUGCCUCUCAGCCAAAUGUGGAGGUAGGACGUUUUUUGUGGCUGAGCUGGACCCCUGCAGCUCCCUCACUCCCACCUGCCUCUCUGGCCCCCAGGCCUUUGAAUCCAGAAGUUCUUUGGCCCCUACACCUCACCAGCUUAUCCUUCAGGUCUCAGCUUUGACAUCCCCUCUUCCGACUCGCCUCCACUGGCUAGGGGCAGUGCUUCUCCUAGAGGUUCCCGGGACCCCACCCUGUGCUCACCGUCUCAGCCUUCGUGAGGCUCCCCUGUGGACCACUAACUCCCUACUGAGCAGCACGGGUCUCAUUGGCCGCACCUACACCCAACGCCAGCGGGGGACCUGGCGGUAGGGGGCGCUCGCGCACUCGUUCUUCUUUCUGCAAGUGUCCACUGAGGCACCGUGGGGGCCUGCGUGUCCCAGGCACGGGGGACGCAGCAGUGAACAAGCCAGACAAACUCCCUGCCUGCCGAGCUCACCUUCUGGCGGGAGACAAACAAUGGACGGAACAAAUCGCUGUCUGUAGGGUACCUUCUGGCCCUCGGAGGGCUGGGCAGCAGAGGAAGUGCAAGUGCAAGAGGCAGGGGCGGGGGCAGGCGCGGGGCUAGGCGCGGGGCUAGAAACCCUGUCGACAAACGGAGACUCGCUCCAGGCAGCCAGGUAGAGGAGUGAACAGCUGGGCCAAACCUCCGAGGCUGCCUGGCGUCCCUGGCGUCGGAGCCUCCUGAGGCCAGUGUGGCUGGAGCAUGGAGGGUGGGAGGUGAGGGCCAGUCAGUAAAUAUUUGUGAAAUGAAUGUAGGAAAGGCAGUGCCUCAGUGUGGGAAGUUGGGAUAAUCUUCCUCCUAGCAAGUCACCCACCCGCCCCUCCCGCCUUACUUUGCUGCUGGCCAGUGAGUGACCCACCCACUCUCUCCGGCUGGGGAGAGUCAAGGGCUGAGCCCCCUCCACCUGUUUCCUCAGCAGCAGCUCUGAGGAGCUUGGGCAGCCCUUUGCCCAGGGUUCCCCCAUCUCAAAAGUUAGGGGACUGUCAAUUCUCCAGGCUUUGGGGUUGCUUUCAUUUGAAAAGUAUUCAGGACAGGGACUGGCUCCAAGGGACACACGUGUGAAGUUGUUUCAUCGUCCCCAAAGCCUGCUCUGCCCGUACCCUCCCCCCACUAACUUAACAGCUCCCAGCCUUGCGCACAUGACAGGCAUCCAGAGAGAGAAGUGUUCAGCUCUCUCUGGCUUUGAUGUCUCUCCACCCUCCCGGCUCCAGGCUCCACUUCCGCCCCAGUCCCUCACAGUCGGGAAGUUCUUCUUUAGAUCUAACCUCCAUCCCUCUUGCUGCGAUGGCAGUCAAUUUCCUGUCUUUUCUCUCACCUUUUGAACUUCCCCCCCAGAAAAAUGAGUAUGCCUGACAGGAAUGUUCCCUGCUUCCCUUUUCUCCUCACCCCACCUCCCCUGGGCCCCCAAGUUUCCGAUCCGCCAUCUGCCUGAAUCCUCUCAGGCACAGUGCCCGAGAUCUCUUGGGGCUUGGGCUGGGGAGGAUGGAGAAGCUGGUGAGACCUCAGCCACACACCUUCCCCUGGUCCUCUUUUCCCUCUCAGGGUUUCUCUGCUCUCCUGCCCUUCUCAUAGACUUCUGCUCUCUCCUGCCCCCUCACGUGGACAGUCGCGUGUCAUGUGUGUCUCCAGCCCUCUGUCUUUGUUCCUCCGUCUGCCUCUGUCUCUGCCCUUUUCUGCCUUGCAUGCCUCUUCUUUCUUUGGGGCCUCUUGCCUCUCCAGCUCUACUUCAUUCCUCACACCAGGUAGGGGCAGAGAACAAGCAAGAGGCCUCUGCUGGAAUGCGGGGGGUGAGAGAGGCAGCACAGUGACCUGGCCAGGUCCUGGGCUUUGUCCCAGCAGGGUCACGGACAGGCUGUGUGACCACCGGCCAGUGCCUUCAGCCCUCUGGAUCUGCGGCUGCAUCUGUAAACUGGACAUGAGAAUAGGCCACGGAGAGAAACCAGUGGCUGGAGGUGUGGGCAGUUCUUAGCACAGCAGUCGGCACAUAGUGGAUGCUCAGCGAACAUGUUGCAUCGUGGUGAGGGAUGCACUGUGACAAGCAGAGGAUUGCUGAGGACAGAUCCCAUGACCUCUGCCAGCAGGGUAUGGAGCAGGGUAGGGUUGUCACGUUCUGCGCAGCAAGGAUGAGGCUGGGCUGGCCAGAGGAUGGGCAUUGUUCAGUGCCCCCAAGGAACUUCCAUGGGAAUUGUGGGUGCUGUCCUGACAAACUUGGGGCUCUCUGGGCCCUUUCUGCUCUGGGGACACUGACCAGGGAGGGGCCGUUACCUAGCUGUGCAUGGCCCUGGGCAAGUGACUUUGUCUCUCUGAACCUCAACUUUCCUAUCUGUGAAAUGGGGUAAGAGUAGCCUCUCUCAGAGGGUCAAUGGGAGAACUAGUUAUUCCAAGUACAACACCUAGAAUGGUGCCUGGGAAGUGCCAGGUACGUGGUGGACAUUACCAUUAUUGGUGGUGAUGGUAUUCAAGGAGUUGAUACCACUCAGAUGUGUACUCCGUGCCCAGAAGAGGAAGGGCUAGCUGGCAGUCCUGUCAUCUGUGUUGGAGGCAUGUAUCUGAGGACAGCUGGGGACAGGCAUCUCCUUGGCACCCAGCAGUAUUCAGGAGUAUAGCUCACACAGGUGGUAUCUGAGGUGCAACUCUCCGAAGAGCAUGACAUUUAGUGGGACACAGGAGCUGCUCUGGGGACCUGCUGUUAGGACUCUAAAGGAUAAUAUCUGGGACCUGGCCAUCCAGGUAGUGCUAUGGCGUGGGCACGGGGCAUCAAGCUGAAGGCGGUUGUGUUUGUGGCAUAUGGAUGUGCCCCCUCCGUUGGGCAGGCCUCCUGGGAUGGGAGGAGACCUCAGGAUCGGGGAUGGCUGAGAUAUAAGCUUGAGACAUGCAGCAGUGUGUCCUGGCCUGGGGGUGCAGAGCAAGGGAUAUGGCUGGGUGAGUGUGUCUCUGAGUGACUGUAUGAAGAAAUGUGGUUAGUCUGUGACGAAUAGACGAACAGCAAUGAUAACUUACUCGUGCAUUCAUUCAUCCAAACUGUACAAAACAGAUGCAGCACCUGCCCUCAGGGAGCUUACCCUCAAGUGUGGGCUUGUAAAAGGCCAGAUGCUGAUAAAUAUUAUGUAGGAAA